rnacentral:rRNA from 1 species
CGGACGGGUGAGUAACGCGUGGGUAACCUGCCUUGUACAGGGGGAUAACAGUUGGAAACGGCUGCUAAUACCGCAUAAGCGCACAGCAUCGCAUGAUGCAGUGUGAAAAACUCCGGUGGUAUAAGAUGGACCCGCGUUGGAUUAGCUAGUUGGUGAGGUAACGGCCCACCAAGGCGACGAUCCAUAGCCGACCUGAGAGGGUGACCGGCCACAUUGGGACUGAGACACGGCCCAA